UCCCUCAAAGCUAAAAGCAGGCACCGGGA
rnacentral:piRNA from 1 species